rnacentral:rRNA from 1 species
GACAGAGGUGCCAAGCGUUAGGCGGAAUCACUGGGCUUAAAGCGUGUGUAGGCGGAAUUGUAAGUACCUUGUGAAAUCCCAUGGCUCAACCAUGGAACUGCUCGGUAUACUGCUUUUCUUGAGCCACUUAGGGGCUACCGGAACAAAUGGUGGAGCGGUGAAAUGCGUAGAUAUCAUUUGGAACGCCAAUGGUGAAAACAGGUAGCUGGGAGUGUGCUGACGCUGAGACGCGAAAGCCAGGGGAGCGAACGGG